rnacentral:rRNA from 1 species
GAUGAACGCUAGCUACAGGCUUAACACAUGCAAGUCGAGGGGAAACGACAUCGAAAGCUUGCUUUUGAUGGGCGUCGACCGGCGCACGGGUGAGUAACGCGUAUCCAACCUGCCCAUCACUUGGGAAUAACCUUGCGAAAGUAAGACUAAUACCCAAUGAUAUCCCACGAAGGCAUCGGAAUGGGAUUAAAGAUUUAUCGGUGAUGGAUGGGGAUGCGUCUGAUUAGCUUGUUGGCGGGGUAACGGCCCACCAAGGCAACGAUCAGUAGGGGUUCUGAGAGGAAGGUCCCCCACAUUGGAACUGAGACACGGUCCAAACUCCUACGGGAGGCAGCAGUGAGGAAUAUUGGUCAAUGAGCGAGAGCCUGAACCAGCCAAGUAGCGUGCAGGAAGACGGCCCUAUGGGUUGUAAACUGCUUUUAUAAGGGAAUAAAGUGGGUCACGUGUGACUUUUUGCAUGUACCUUAUGAAUAAGGACCGGCUAAUUCCGUG